AUUGAAUUGAAGUAACAAAAUGAAGUCCAUUGUCCUAGUUUCCAUUCUUGUGAUUUCGGUUCUUUUCGCCCCAACAGAAGUAGGGGCUCGGCCAUUAGUCGAGAGGUCUCUACUAGAAAAGGCUGUUACGCCCGUAACUCGUAUCCCUAAUCUUCCAUUUUGUGACAAACCUGGUAGACCGUACAAGUCUUGCCUCUCUCCUAGAAACCAGCCUCCCAAGUGCGGCAGCAUCUAUCAAUGCGGACCAUCAGCACCUCGCUCUCCUUAAAUAGUUUAUGGUCUCUGAUGAGUUCAUCAGAUGUAUUUGGAGAAGUGGUUGGUUUAAUGAUGUAAGCUACUUAAGCUAUAUAGUAUGUAUCGGUACAAAGAAUAAAGGAUCAAAUUAAAGGUAGGUAGAUUUUGUGUUUUAUUUCUCUCCUCUAGAUCUUCUCCCUUUUUACUUUUCAUCCCUCCAGUUGUAUGUGAUCGAAAUUAUCAACAACAGUGAAUUGAAGAUUAUGUAUUACUUGUUUUUAUAAUCC